GUAACCAUGGUAACGGCCACCAAAGUUUGCACAUCACAUAUGUGAAUGAAUACAUACCUGAAGUAAAAAUACUGGAUUUUUUUCAGGCCUUUGAAAGUAUUUUGAAAGGUUUGUUCUUCAUUUAGUACAUAAAUAAUGUUGAAAAUGUAAAUAAAACACAAAUAAUAGCAGUUUUAUACAUAUUUAUUAAAUCCCGCCCCCA
rnacentral:lncRNA from 1 species